UGGUUAUGAAUCAUGUUUAAUAGCUUUUGCAAUGAAAUUCUUCUGUCUACUUGUUUUCUUGUUCUAAAAAGUCCACAACUGGUACUAGUGUUAGAUAACAAGUUUCUGUGCUUUGCCAUUUUAUUAUCCUAAGACUGAUUAUUAGUGAAACUGGAAGACCAGUGCCUUCCAUAAGAACAAUACUUAAUUUGUCCAAAUUAUGACAGUGAAUUUUGCUUUCUGCAGGAUGAUAAAUCUUCUACUUGUUUUCUGCUGCACUGUCAGAAGUUUAUCGAGUUAGUACGGGUUGGAGCACUAGAGGAGGCUGUGAAGUAUGGAAGGACUGAAUUAGCAAAAUUUUUUGGGUUGACUGGAUUUGCUGAUUUGGUUCAGGACUGUGUUGCUUUACUGGCGUAUGAAAAGCCACAGGAGUCAUCGGUGGGUUACCUUCUUGAAGAUUCACAACGUGAGGUUGUGGCUGAUACAGUUAACGCCAUGAUCUUGUCAACUAAUCCUAACAUGAAAGAUUUGCAAGGUUGCUUGCAUUCAUAUCUGGAGAGGUUACUCAGGCAGCUUACUGCUUGCUGCUUAGAGAGAAGAACAAUGAAUGGGGAUCAAGGAGAAGCUUUCAAACUACACCGGGUUUUGAACAGUGGUAAUAAGGCUAAGUGCUAGUUGAUGCAUGCUUCAUAUUCUCUUGUUCAUAUAGCAACUUGAUUUUCUCUCCACACUUCCCAUGGUGUUGUUAGCUGAUAAUCAAUACAUGGGAUGAUAGGGGCUUGUCAUUUAAUGGAAAAUUUCAAUCAAUACAAUACUUU